rnacentral:rRNA from 1 species
ACGCUGGCGGCGUGCCUAAUACAUGCAAGUAGAACGCUGAAGAGAGGAGCUUGCUCUUCUUGAAUGAGUUGCGAACGGGUGAGUAACGCGUAGGUAACCUGCCUUGUAGCGGGGGAUAACUAUUGGAAACGAUAGCUAAUACCGCAUAACAAUGGGUGACACAUGUCAUUUAUUUGAAAGGGGCAAUUGCUCCACUACAAGAUGGACCUGCGUUGUAUUAGCUAGUAGGUGAGGUAACGGCUCACCUAGGCGACGAUACAUAGCCGACCUGAGAGGGUGAUCGGCCACACUGGGACUGAGACACGGCCCAGACUCCUACGGGAGGCAGCAGUAGGGAAUCUUCGGCAAUGGGGGCAACCCUGACCGAGCAACGCCGCGUGAGUGAAGAAGGUUUUCGGAUCGUAAAGCUCUGUUGUAAGUCAAGAACGAGUGUGAGAGUGGAAAGUUCACACUGUGACGGUAGCUUACCAGAAAGGGACGGCUAACUACGUGCCAGCAGCCGCGGUAAUACGUAGGUCCCGAGCGUUGUCCGGAUUUAUUGGGCGUAAAGCGAGCGCAGGCGGUUUGAUAAGUCUGAAGUUAAAGGCUGUGGCUCAACCAUAGUUCGCUUUGGAAACUGUCAAACUUGAGUGCAGAAGGGGAGAGUGGAAUUCCAUGUGUAGCGGUGUAAUGCGUAGAUAUAUGGAGGAACACCGGUGGCGAAAGCGGCUCUCUGGUCUGUAACUGACGCUGAGGCUCGAAAGCGUGGGGAGCGAACAGGAUUAGAUACCCUGGUAGUCCACGCCGUAAACGAUGAGUGCUAGGUGUUGGAUCCUUUCCGGGAUUCAGUGCCGCAGCUAACGCAUUAAGCACUCCGCCUGGGGAGUACGACCGCAAGGUUGAAACUCAAAGGAAUUGACGGGGGCCCGCACAAGCGGUGG